ACAGUUAUGCUUGUAUAUCUGCCGAGAUAUGGUCGGCAAGUUUCUACCCCGCUGCCGUAAAUAGUGGGACUACAAGGAAACGUA
rnacentral:ncRNA from 1 species